UGCUUGUUCUUUUUUUUUUUUUUUUCAUUUUUUCCAUUCCACAUAACAGUGAAAUCACAUGGUAUUUGUCUCUCUCUCUGACUUAUGUCACUUAGCAUAGUGCUUUCGAGUUCCUGCCCAUGUCACAAAUGGCAAGACCUCAUCGUUCUUCUUAUGGCCCAGCCACAUUCCAUUGUGAGGAAACAUUUUGACGAUAACUGAGGCAGGAGAUGAGGGCUUGGGCCAAAGCAAGACCAGUGUGAGAAAAUGAAAACACGAGCGAUGCUUUGAAAGAGGAGGGAAGAGGCAAGACUUAAUGAGUGACCUUAAUUCAUUAAGGAGAUGACAGAACAGGGGAAAAUCGGGUCUACACAGAUCUGGUCCCCCUGCUUUGUGACUUCCAAGCCUGGCUGCGUGUCACCUACUGCUCUGGCAGCAGUGCCCACCCUCCCCCACCCGGAUGCUUACCCCACUCCCUCCAGGGCCACUCACAACCUCUUCGGCCACAAGCACAGACCUCAGAGAAAGUUCUCUCAUUUCUCGAGAAGGAGGUGAUGUUUGGAAGGAAUCAUUCCUCAACUUGCUGGGCUACCCCAACCGAAAGAAAAACUGAAACCAGAGACCACCUGGUAUAGGUAUGGGAGAGGGUAAUCACUAAAAAUAAUUCUAAGUCUAUUUAGUACCAGCUGCCAAUUUACUCCAAGUUUACUUCUAAUUCUAAAAUCAGUCUCUACUGAUACUGUCAGUAUCCACAACUCUUUUGUUAUGCAUUGGAAAGAGCAUAGCUUGUGGUCAAUGGACCGCCACAUGGUAUGGACCACUACAUGGUGUGGGCCACCACGUGGUACGGAUUACCACAUUGACCUUAGACAAACUAUUUAACUUCUCUGAACCUCAGCUUCAGUAUCUGGAAGUAGAAGUGGGUAAAGCCAACCUCACGGAACUGUUGGGAAAAUGAAAAGAUCAUGUAGGUAAAGCAGCCAGCAUGAGGCCUGGCAUAUGGUGAGUGCUCUUGAAAUGUGAGCUUCCUUCCUUUUUAGCAUUCUUGCUAUGCUACUCCUAGAGCAUGCUCCUAGUCCUUCUCUGUACCUUUCAAGGCAUUUGGGUGUCUUUACAAAGAUAGAUUCUGCUAUGGUUUAAAUGGAUACAUCCCCCAAAAUUCAUAUGCUGAAUUCCUAAUACCCAAUGUUAUGGUUGUAGGAGGUGGGGCCUUGGGGAGGUGAUUAGGUCAUGAGAGAAGAGCCCCCCUGAAUGGAAUUCGUACCUUUAAUAAAGAAGCCCCAGAGAGCUGCUUGCCCACCUUCUGCCAUGUGAGAACAUAAUGAGAUGUCGCCAGUCUGCAACCCAGAAGAGGACCUUCAUCUACAACCAACCAGGCUCGAUGGGUGAACUUGAACUUGAACUUGAUCUUCCCACCACCAUAACCCGAAGAGGUAAAUUUCUGUGAUUCAUAAGCCACCCAGUCCACCUUAUUCUGUUACAGCAGCUGAACAGACUGACAGAUUCUAAGAUUGAUUCCUCAGAGCACUCAAGAAUGUCAUGUGGACUGACCUCUGAGCUAUCUGUAGGAUGAAAGAAAAAAGUCAACUUUCAGUUUUUGUGGAGUCCUGAGGCACCCUCUUUGUUUCACUGUCAGGACCAUUCAGCCAAGUUCUUGCCUACAAAGAUCCUUCUGCCAGACGCAGGGAAGUAUAAAUAUUUUCAAUGAUUCAAGCCAGCGUGUCAACAUGUUCUUCAAAUCUUUCUACAUGCACAUGUACUUUUUAAUUAUUAACAAGAUGGAUCAUCCUCAGCAAGAGAGAGAAAGUAACUACCCUGGAUGAAUAUCCCAGAACUGACCCUACCUCAGAACAGUUUCCUUUUUCCAUGAGGGUUAUUAUUCCAACCCGACCUUGGCACAAGCCCACAUCCUGUUCCAGAACAGCCACAGCACACUCAGCCUUGACCCAAGCUGUGUUGCCCGCUUGUUACCUUGGAGCUGCACUCCAUGCUGGCCCCAUCUCCCUCAUCCAGGCCUGCUCUAGCAUUUCCUUCUCAGCAAGACUGUGAAGUAAAUGGUUUCUGCCUCUGUGGUAUAAUAAAAAAUUUUUAAUUAAAAAAAAUUUUUUUUAAUU
rnacentral:lncRNA from 1 species